AGAACAACCACUUACUAUGGUUGUACCGAUGAGUGAGUUUCUCAAGAUAUUCAGGUUGUACAGUCCGAGCCAGUUAAGUGGCAGUCCUCGGAGUCCGCUUAGCCCGUCCUAUAUAUGUGCGGAGCACUUGUCACCUGAAGGCAUGGGGGUGAAUUUGAAGCGCAUCAAGACGAGGAUUUCACUUGUAGAUUGAAAUCGUGGGUCGAUAGGU
rnacentral:misc_RNA from 1 species